rnacentral:sRNA from 1 species
ACAGACGGCCCAUGGCGGGCGUUUCCUCCCUUAGACUUGGCCCUGCCCCACCGGGUGGGGCCUUUUUCUUGCCAGAU